CCAGACAUGGUGCAGUGGGAACACAUUCUCUUCUUCUAAUUAAAAUUUGCCGACUAUAUAGGCAGUCCAGGGUUCGAACCUCUGUGUCUGAA